GAUGAACGCUAGCGGCAGGCCUAAUACAUGCAAGUCGAACGGAUAUAUGUUUUUCGGAAUAUAUAUUAGUGGCGCACGGGUGAGUAACACGUACAUAACUUGCCCUCAAGCGGGGGAUAGCCUUGGGAAACUGAGAGUAAUACCCCAUAGAAUUAUUGGACGGCAUCGUUUGAUAAUUAAAACUACGGUGCUUGGGGAUAGAUGUGCGUCUGAUUAGCUAGUUGGUGAGGUAACUGCUCACCAAGGCGACGAUCAGUAGGGGGCGUGAGAGCGUGGCCCCCCACACGGGUACUGAGACACGGACCCGACUCCUACGGGAGGCAGCAGUAAGGAAUAUUGGUCAAUGGAGGGAACUCUGAACCAGCCAUGCCGCGUGAAGGAUGACGGCCCUCUGGGUUGUAAACUUCUUUUGGAUGGGGCGAAAAAACGGGAUUUAUCCUGGACUGACGGUACCAUCAGAAUAAGCACCGGCUAACUCCGUGCCAGCAGCCGCGGUAAAGUAGUCGUG
rnacentral:rRNA from 1 species